rnacentral:RNase_P_RNA from 1 species
CCAGUGCAACAGAGAGCAAACCGCCGAUGGCCCGCGUAAGCGGGAUCAGGUAAGGGUGAAAGGGUGCGGUAAGAGCGCACCGCGCGGCUGGUAACAGUCCGUGGCACGGUAAACUCCACCCGGAGCAAGGCCAAAUAGGGGUUCAUAAGGUACGGCCCGUACUGAACCCGGGUAGGCUGCUUGAGCCAGUGAGCGAUUGCUGGCCUAGAUGAAUGACUGUCCACGACAGAACCCGGCUUAUCGGUCAGUUUCACCU